rnacentral:rRNA from 2 species
UACAGAGACCUCAAGCGUUAUCCGGAAUCAUUGGGCGUAAAGCGUACCGAUAGGUGGUUUACAAAGUCAGAGGUGAAAUCUCAAGGCUCAACCUUGAGUCUGUCCUUUGAUACUUGUAAACUAGAGGGGCAAAGAGGAAGCUGGAACGAACGGUGUAGUAGUGAAAUGCGUUGAUAUCGUUCGGAACACCAAUAGCGUAGGCAGGCUUCUGGGUGCCACCUGACACUGCUAGGACGAAAGCGUGGGGAGCGAAUGGG